rnacentral:rRNA from 1 species
UGAGGAAUAUUGGUCAAUGGACGAGAGUCUGAACCAGCCAAGUAGCGUGAAGGAUGAAGGUUCUAUGGAUUGUAAACUUCUUUUAUACGGGAAUAAACGAAUCCACGUGUGGAUUUUUGCAUGUACCGUAUGAAUAAGCAUCGGCUAACUCCGUGCCAGCAGCCGCGGUAAUACGGAGGAUGCGAGCGUUAUCCGGAUUUAUUGGGUUUAAAGGGAGCGCAGACGGGGGAUUAAGUCAGUUGUGAAAGUUUGCGGCUCAACCGUAAAAUUGCAGUUGAUACUGGUUCCCUUGAGUGCAGUUGAGGCAGGCGGAAUUCGUGGUGUAGCGGUGAAAUGCAUAGAUAUCACGAAGAACCCCGAUUGCGAAGGCAGCCUGCUAAGCUGUAACUGACGUUGAGGCUCGAAAGUGUGGGUAUCAAACAGGAUUAGAUACCCUGGUAGUCCACACGGUAAACGAUGGAUACUCGCUGUUGGCGAUAUACUGUCAGCGGCCAAGCGAAAGCAUUAAGUAUCCCACCUGGGGAGUACGCCGGCAACGGUGAAACUCAAAGGAAUUGACGGGGGCCCGCACAAGCGGAGGAACAUGUGGUUUAAUUCGAUGAUACGCGAGGAACCUUACCCGGGCUUAAAUUGCAGACGAAUUACCUGGAAACAGGUAAGCCGCAAGGCGUCUGUGAAGGUGCUGCAUGGUUGUCGUCAGCUCGUGCCGUGAGGUGUCGGCUUAAGUGCCAUAACGAGCGCAACCCUCGUGGCCAGUUACUAGCAGGUAACGCUGAGGACUCUGGCCAGACUGCCAUCGUAAGAUGCGAGGAAGGUGGGGAUGACGUCAAAUCAGCACGGCCCUUACGUCCGGGGCUACACACGUGUUACAAUGGGAGGUACAGAAGGCAGCUACCCGGCGACGGGAUGCCAAUCUCCAAAGCCUCUCUCAGUUCGGACUGGAGUCUGCAACCCGACUCCACGAAGCUGGAUUCGCUAGUAAUCGCGCAUCAGCCACGGCGCGGUGAAUACGUUCCC